CAAGUGUGUAAAUAUAUCCAACAACUUGCAAAUAGAAAAAGAAAGAAGAAGUGGCUAUUUUUCUCAGAAAUUCUAGGAAGUUCUAUGCUAGUGUGGGUACAAGCCAUGGGCGUAGGUAGCUAAGGGGAGCAGGAGUGUGCACGGCCCACCCAAAACAAAAGAUCUAAUAUUAUCGUCUACCAUAUCGGCAUAUCGUUUCAGAGAAAGACGACUCGUUUGAAUGAACUAACAUCCCCCUUGAUUUUAUGUUAUUCCAUAUACUUAAGGCAAGAAAAUCAGUGCAGGUGUAAGCUAACUAGCUGCCGCUGGAUAUUUUACCUGCUGAUGUAAAUCGUAGUGGGGUGGUGCCUAAAUUGUGAUGUGGCACAGUGGCAAGUAGCAGUGGUUGGUAGGUUAGUUGUGUAGUUGAUAAAACUUGAGAUAAACGUACACGACACUCGGUAAAUUCUUAAUAAAAGUGAGUAUAUAACGCUUUUUAUUUAGCCACCGAUUUGUAUUUUAA